CUGCUCAGGACGACCAAAUUGAUAUCUCAGCAUUUGAUUGGCCUGGUGCCCAGAAGCACCAUGGGAAAGAAUUUGAAGACUCUUGGCGGUUGAGAUUCAGACCUUGACGGUUGUAACUGAUGGAUUGGGCUGGGGCACUGCUGAUGAACAUCACAUUCCUGAGAGAAAAAUCACCCAGACUACUUCAUUGCCGUGUUCGUCCACGAUGGCUACCCUUGAGGAGGAUCGUCACUGGGCCUCAGAGAAGAGAGAAAACCAACAGGCCAUCAACCACAAAUUGAAAAUUGAAGUUGACAGCUGCUCCAUAGCUGUUCCGUGGACAUAACAUCCCACUCCCACCUGACAACCCUUCAACCGUUUACAUCCAUUGCCUGAUGGUCAGAUGGGCAGCCCCAGGGGUGAGAGAGGAAUUAAGCCCUUCUCCCUGCUACAUCCCCUUCCCAGGGAGAUCAUCAAGAGCCCAUGGAGAACUGUGUCCUGGGAAUAACCUUGGUCUUUCUGAAAAUCGUGAGGUUCAAGGAGUUUAAGAGCGAGAAUUACUGAUUUCUUUGGAACUCUUUUUACCUCAGGGCUCUUAGGAGAUGGACUGAGUGAAAUGUGUGAUUGCGUCUGCAAGCACAAGGGGCCUCAGCCACAGCUCCGAGCUCUGCAGACAGCCACUGGCCCUGGGGAUUGGUGGUUAUUAAAAUGUUAAGUGAAAUAGGCAGUUUAACGCUGUUCACUUACAUAAAGAGGAAAAGGUACGGAUAAAAGAUCUGAAGUAACCUGAAGUAUUCACAGCUGCACGUGAGACUAUGCUCGAUAGUUUUCUUCUUUUUUUUUGCACCUCCCAACCCACAAAGAGCAUGUGUUAUUUUUAUCAAUAGAGGGUUAAAAAAAAAUUCCUUUAAGAAGAAAUAAUGUAGGGGUAGAAAUUGUGCUUCUUUAAUUUCAUUGUUGUGGUUAAUGACUUCUACAGUGGACACCUGCCCUGGUACCUGGGUCAUGAUUUACUCUCGUGGCAAUCCGGGGUCUGUUCUAGUGCUCCUCGGGCAGCAGAAAUACUGGUGUCUCAGAGUCCCCGAAAUGAACUUCUAACCUAUGGAGUCCUGUGGGCUUGUCAUGGUAAUCAAGCUGUGCUGCCAGCCUGCUAAUUUUAAUAACAGAAUCAUAAAGUUUUAGACCUAGAAAGAUCUGGAGGAAUCAUCUGUUUUCUCAUUUUUGUGGCAGAACCAGGAUAAGAGUUUGAUAGUAAGAUCUACCUUUAAGUAAGCAGCUACUAUGUGCCAUGAAUGGUACUAGGUACUUUAUGUAGAUUAAUCUUUAAUCACACUGUCAAGGUAAGUCUUAGCCCUACCCUGAUUUUAUAGAGGAAGUAGGGGUAUAGAGACUAAAAAGCUUUUCCUAAAUCAUCCAACUAGAGUCCAAGGUAGGUUUUGCAUUCGUGUUUGUCUGGUUCUAAAAAGAGCUCUUGCCAUGCCUCUUUAUUUCCAGCAUGGGCUACUUGACUUCCAGUCUUAGAGUUUUAUCUCUUGUCUCCACGUUUAAAACUCCGGUCUCUUUUAACCUGUGUGAGUUGAGCUGACCCACACCCAAAUUACAUUCCUCUUGCUGGGACAGCCUGUGUUGUCAUGAGGAAGCCCACCCCAAGUUUAAAGGCCCACACUAGCUCUUCCUCAAAGCAAUGGGCCUGCAGGCCUUCAGCCUGAGCUCACGCUUGCUUUUAUUUACUCACCCGCUCCCCUUUCAUUGUGAGUGUUCCCAUUCAUAGGCUGUGGGAAUGCCCAGCCAGAGUGAGGGUGUGGUGACCAGGAGAUUGUCACCAGCGCCCUAGCCAGAGGAGGGGAGCUGGGAGGAGGCCAUAGCACCCUGAGGCCUCAGGCUGCCACCUCCAGGUCCUUCUGCCCUCCUGCUGUGGGAAGGCUGGGCUGCCCCAGUCAUUGGGAAAAAGAGAACUGAGGGCUUUCUGAGGUGAAGGUGGAGGGGAGGCAGGGCAGAGAGGAUCUUCUCUUCAGAGGGAAGUAGAGACUCCUAAAUCACGAAGUGGCUUGAUUUAGAGUAAGCUCUCCACGUUUCAGCCUGGCCGGAGGCGUUCUGGUUAAUCAGAUAUUCUUAACAAGGGUGAUGGUGUGUGCUAUACGUGGCUGAACAUUUUUCCAGGGAUUAUAACACAGAAAAGUAUGGGUAAAACCCAAACUGCGCUAAAUAGAAUUAAAUCUUUCUUUGAUGAUUCAUAAGGCCUUUAGGAUCCUGUGGUGCCUCAGGGUCACCAUUAAUUUUAUCAUCAUCCUUGAUGAGGCAGGCAGCUGAAUGAAAAUAUCAGAUUUAAAGGUAUAGGCCUCACUCCCACUCUGCCUACCUGGGUGGCCUUGGGCAGGUGGCUUGACCUCUUGAGCUUCAGAGUUUCCUCCCAAAUAGGGGUGACAACAUUUCGUCCUAGGGCUGUCACAGUAGUAAACUAUGUGCAUUGUGGGCCGGCCCAGUGGCGCAGUGGUUAAGUGCGCACGUUCCGUUUCUCGGAGGCCUGGGGUUCGCCGGUUCGGAUCUCGGGUGCGGACAUGGCACCACUUGGCAAGCGGUGCUGUGGCAGGCGUCCCACUUAUAAAGUAGAGGAAGGUGGGUACGGAUGUUAGCUCAGGGCCAGUCUUCCUCAGCAAAAAGAGGAGGAUUGGCAGUAGUUAACUCAGGGCUAAUCUUCCUCAAAGAAAAGAAAACUAUGUGCAUAAAGAAUGUUGUUAUUAUCAUUACUAUUAAGCUACCAGGACAUCACAUUGCUGGCUGAUAGAGAAUUCUAUUAUAUGGUUUUUCCUAACCUGCUUCAAAGUAAUCUACUCUGGUCCCCUUUUAAGGAAAACAUGGCUUGUCCAGCAGCAGGGACUGCUGAGAUGCAAUCUUUAGUCAAGGGCCAGUAAGAGCCUUUAAACAAUGUUGUUGUUUUUAAACUGCAAAAGUGGUACAUGCUUUUUGUGAAAAAAUUUGAAUAUGACAGAAGAACAUAUUGAAAAACAAAAAUCCUCUUCUAUCCUCGUUGUCUCAAUCUUGCCCGGAGGUAAGCCUUAUGUAGUUCAGCAUGUGUGUGUGUGUGUGUGUGUGUUAGAUGGAAAUUAUACGAUUCGUUACUAUUCUUUGGCUUUGCUUUUUUUUCACUUAGCAUAUCUUGGGGAUCUUUUCAUUCUUUUUUCCAGCUGCAUCUGCAUAGUUUUUCAUAAGAAGGACGAGUUGUAUCUCGUGGAGCCAUUGCCCUGUUGGUGAACAUUAAGUUAUUUCUAGUUUUUCUGUGGCAAACAAUGCUGCAAUGAGCAUAGGAUGAAUAGUUAUGUCCUAACUCGGCAGUAGCCACUCAGUAACUUUUUAUUACCUCAGGUUGCUUCAACCCGUGCUUCCUAAAACACUCUCCUCUUGAUCUCGUUGCCUACCUAAAGAGAUAGCAUCAGACAUGAACAAAGCAGAUGACUUUAACAGUUUGGUGAUUUCUAAUAAACUUAUACACUUACGCUACUACCACCACAACCCCAUUUUAGGGCAUUUUCAUUACCCCAAAAAGUUCUUUUUUGUACCUCUUUGAGGUUAAUUUCCAUACUCACCCCAGCUGUAAGCAACCACUGAUAGGAUUUCUGUCUCUAAUGUUUGUCUUAUCUGGAAAUUUCGUAUAAAUGGAAUCAUAAUAUGUAGUCUUCUGUGUCUGGUUUUUGUUUUUGUUUUUGGUGAGGAAGAUUGGCUCUGAGUUAACAUUUGUGCCAAUCCUUCUCUACUUUGUAUGUGGGAUGCCACCACAGCGUGGCUUCAUGAGCCUUGUGUAGGUCUGUGCUGGGGAUCCAAACCAGGGUCGCAGAAGCAAAGCAUGUAAACUUAACCACUACCGCACUGGGCCAGCCCGUGUCUGGAUUCUUUUACUUGGCAAAACGGUUUUUGAUACUCAAUCUUGUUGUCGGAUGUCUCGGUUAUUGCUGAAUAGUGCUCCAUUGCAUAGGGUACCACAAUUUGUUCACUCAUUUGGAUUGUUUCCAGUUUGGGACUAUUUUCCGUUUUUGCCUGUUAUGAAUAACGAUACCAUGAACGUUUGUAUACAAGUUUGUGUAUGGACAUAUAUUUUUAUUUCUCUUGACUAGAUACCUGGAAGUGGAAUUACUGGGUCUUAUGAUUAGUACAUGUUUAACUUUUUAAAAAUAUUGCCAAAUUAUUUUCCAAAGUGGUUGCUCCGUUUUACAUUCCUACCAGCCACGGAUGAGGGUUCUGGUUUCUCCACAUUCUCACCAACGCUUGGUACUGUCAGCCUUUUGGAUUAUAGCCGUUCUAGUGGUUGUGUAGUGGUACCACACGGUCAUUUUAAUUUCCAUUUUCCUAAUAACUGGUGAUGUUGGGCACUUUUUCAUGUGUUUAUUAGCCAUUCACCUAUGUUCUAUGUUAAAGUGCUUAAUCACAUCUUCUGUCCAUUUUUUACUCGGCUAUUUGCUUUUUGUUAUUGUAAUAGUUCUUUGUAUAUUCUGAAUUCAACCCUUUUAUGUAUAUGUACAUAUACUUACACAUAUGAUUUCUAUAUAGAUAUGUGAUUUACAGAUAUUUUCUCCCAACCCGUGGCUUGUGUUUUCUUUUUCUUAGUGGGGGCUUUUGAAAAACAAAAUAAUUUUGGCAAAGUCUAAAUUUGUCAAUUUUUCUAUUAUGGAUCAUGCCUUGGGUGUCAUAUACAAGAAAUCUUUGCUUCAUUCAAAGUCACACGGAUUUUCUCUUACGUUUUCUUCUAGAAGUUUUAUAAAAAUAACGUGAUUUUUUAAGUUAUUUCAAAGCCUGGAGGAAGCUGACGUUCUCUAGAGCCCCUUUCUAGGCUGAAGUCAGCGGUGCGUGGAGUUAAAUCUACAGAGCAGCCCCUUCCCACCUUUGCAGGGUAGUUUUCACAGGUUGGCUACAACAUGUAUCUAUAGAAUCAACUAGCUGGCCUUUAUUACUGACUCUUUAGAAUUUUUUUCUCAAGGAAAAGUGUGAAGUCAUGUUCAUUUAGAAGGAUCAGGAAAGGUUCCCUUUGAGAUCAUAUGUAUUCCUAUAUCAUGAAUACAAUGUUCUCAGUGUGCUGUAUCAUUUAGCAAGUGGAGGGCAUUAUCUCUCAAAACAAAAGCAGUACAGAGUCAUUUCCUAUUACUAAUGGCUUUGAUGUGGGCGUAGUUCCACUUGCGUCUCUCUGUUUGUAGUAACUCACUUUAUUUCUCUAGGUAAUGAGACUAUUACUUCUUAGCCCUUAGCAAAGUUCUUUCACCGUGUGUGUGUGUGUGUGUGUGUGUGUGUGUCUGUGUGUCUGUGUGUCUGUGUGUGUGUGUGUGUGUUUGUUGAAGAGCUACAUUGCUCUUGCUUAUCGGGAGAACUUGAAUCCUGUUUCUCUCAAACCUUCAUUGAUCAUAGCGUAUAUACGUCCUCUCCCCUUAUUUGAAACUCUUAGGGCCAGAUAUAUUUAAAAAUGCACAGGUCUUUUUAAAUUUUAGAAAGAUAGUACAGUGAAUAUUCUGGAUGAAUAUAAUUUCUCCAGGGAGUCAAGAUGACCAGUAUUUUAUAAGAUAAACAUGUUAAUAUUAAAAAAUACACUAAAUAUUUACAAUAUAUGAGAUAAAUAAAGACUAUAAACAGCUUCGAUCAGUUCAGAUCAGGUUUUCCACUAUUUGAAUUCAGGUCUGGUUAGUUUUGGGUGCAAAUGAGUUUUAAAACCUUUCCAUUUAAAGCGUUUUUGGAUUUCUGAAUUGAGAGGAAGGGUUAGUGGAUCUGCAUUGCUUUUCCUGGGAACCCACUACACCAGCCGCUUAGUGUGGUGUGUCACGUUCCUUAGCCUCUGGACCACUGCUGGGCCUGCGUUUGGAGCUGCUGUGAGCGGCUGUCACAUUCCAGGAGACACAGGGAAGAGUUUUCUGAGGGAACAUUUUAAAGAGAGAGAAUUUCCACUGGAUGCAAGGCUGCGGUUUAGAUUGUUUUCUAGGGGGAAGGUAUUUUGCCAUUCAAAUCAAUAUAUGCUUUAAAAGAUACUUCCCCGUCUCCCACUCAUUCUAGUGCAUGACUUCUAUCUGCUUCACGGCACAGGAUCUCAGAGGCAGAUGCCCAAUAAAGAUCUGUUAUCUAGGGGGCCUGGAUUCCUGGCUUGGGGUGAAAUUAUACCCUUUAAAAUGGAAUUGAGUCCAGCUGUGAUAUAUUUGGAUCCCAUGGAGAGCUAGAUUAUGUGGUCAAUGGCAGCUCAGAAGCACGUUUUAAUCACCAAGCGCUAUGGUGCUGACCUGACAGCGCUGGUGGAAUCACCGGCCCGUGUUCCUGGGGAAAAUGAGAGCCUCCUGGAUGCCCACAACUUCUUUCCUCACGAAUAGGAAGCAUCUUUGCAAUUCAUCUAAUGGCACUUUAAGAAAAAAUUACAGAAGCAGUACAUAUUCGUCACAAAAUAUUUACACAAGGAAAUGAUACACAAGAGUUUACAUGAGUGUAUAAAGUAAAAAUGUAAAAGCCCCUCAGUGCUAGUCUCCCACUCUGUUCCUGCCACCCUCUUCAAGAGGUCACCACUGAUAGUAAUUUGGUGUGUGUCAUUCUAGGCCUUUUUCUUUCUAGCAAUGUAUGUACACACAUGAACACACUUGCGCAGUCACAUUUAUAAGGAAAUGGACCAUACUCUUCAAAUUGUUGUCUCACUUCCUUUUCUUAACAAUCAGAGACAUCUUUCUUUGACACUACCAUCCUUUCGAUGGCUGCAGAGCAUUACCAAGAUGUAUAUAAUCAGUCCCCAGGUGAAAAAUGUUUAGGUAAUUUUGAGGGGUAUUACCAACUACAAUGACAUUUCUUAUUCAUAUAUUUUUAUGCAUAUGUCUUUUUUUUAGAGUAGAUAGUAAAAUUUUCAUGGUUUUUGGUGUAUCUCCAAGGUCUUACUCCCAAUGAUUGUAUUUUAGUUUGAAUUUCAGCACUGUCUCCUGUCCUUCUUUCUUUCUGUUUUUUUUUUUUUUUUUUUUUUUUGCUGAGGAAGAUUAGCCCUGAGGUAGCAUCUGUGCCACUGCUCCUCCAUUUUAUAUGUGGGUCACCGCCACAGCAUGGCUGAAGAGUGGUGUAGGUCUGUGCCUGGGAUCUGAACCUUGACCUGAGCCCUUGAAGCAGAGCACACCAAACUCAAACACUGUGCCACGGGGUCGGCCUUCUUUCCUUCUAUUGUUUAUCUAGAAAGCCACUGGGGCACUGGUAGUCCUUGUUGGACACAUGAAUGUCUCCUGGGGUGAGGAUGGGGGAUGUACAAAGAGGAGGAUUAUUUAUGUUUACAACUUUUGACAUUUUUGAUGUUGCCUGCUAGAUAUUAACUAAAUGUCAUGUUCUUUUAUUUCCUCCCAUGUAUAGGACAGGUCAGAUAAGAUAAGAGCUUGCCUUCAGCUGUGUAAAUUGUUACAGUCUUUCUGGAGAGCUCUUGACAUUAUCUACUAAAAUUUAGAAUGUUCGUACUUUUGAUCCUGCAAUUCUACUGCUACAUGGCACUAUGGAAAUCACUUUGUUUUGAGAGCUGAAAGAUUUUGUUCAGAUAUGAAGCUCAGCAGCUUUUAGGAGUCUUUAAAUAGUUCCAGCAACGGAAUGAAUGUCUGCGUUGCCCUCAAAAUUCAUACCUUGAAAUCCUAAUUCCCAACGUGAUGGUUUUAGAAGGUGGGGCCUUCGGGAGGUACUUAGAUCAUGAUCCCUCAUGAAUGGGAUUAGUGCCCUUGUAAAAGACACCCCUGAGAGUUCUCUCACUCUCUUUCUGCCUUGUGAGGAUACAACGAGAAGUCAGCUGUCUGCAACCUGGAAGAGGGUCCACACCAGAAUCCGACCAUGCUGGCACCCUGAUCUUAGACUUCCAGCCUCCUGAACUGGGUCUCAGAGAAUAUCAGCUGCUGGCAGACGGGAAUGGAAUUUGACUCAACAGACAUUUAUUGCACUCCAGCUGUGUGCCAAGACAUGCCCUGAAAUCUGGGAGUGUGCAACACAGGGGAAGAAAAGACUCAUUGCCAAGGAGCUUUCGCCUAGGAGGGUCUCCAUGAGCCGCACGAGGAACAGGUGCAAGUCAUUGGAUUGCUACAGUGGGGAUUCAAGCCUACUUCUGCAUGAAGUCAAAGCCUAUGCUGUCCCUCAUCGUUGUGUUGUUUCCCAAGACAAUUGGGCGUGGUGCAGAAAAAGAAUGGAGCAAUCAUCAAAAUGGAAGAUUAAAGAGAUGAAACAAAAUUGGGGGCAUGGACUGAGACAAUGCAGCAAGGGACACUGGAAUUGGAAGACAUGAGUGAGGGACAUGGCCAGAGUGGAACUCUCUUAAGGCUUGUGGCGUUCAGUCCCUGGACACUUUGUCAUAACAAGGCAGCUCAGUUGGCAGUGAUCAUCUGGGCACGGGGACCACAUUCAUGGCUUGCAUAUCUUGCUUUGUGUUUUGGGGUUCGGGCUCCCAAGCUCCCUGAAGUCAGGGAUCGUGUCUAUGCCUUUUUGAAGUAGAGACACAGUCCAUCCUACCAAGUGGCCACAUGGGAGGCACAGAGAAGCAAGCAUCUCUGUGCCCAGGCAUGCAGGGAGGUUUCCCAGGGAGAUGACGGGUCCAGGUAGAGAAGGGAGACAGGGUGUGGGAAACUCAAGGUAGAGGCCAGAGUACAUGUUUAGGGAAGGAAGCCGGGAAAGUCAGGGGAGCCGUGUUUAGGGGUUUGCCCAAAGUAUAAGUCAAGAGCAAACAGUAGGAGGAAGUAAGGCUGGGGAGGCAGCUCCUGGAGGGGCACAGAUGUAAAAGCCAAUCCCCCACCCCAUAUGCUUUCAACCCACCCACCCCAGACUACUCCCAUCUCCCUGCUGUUUAACAUGUUGUCUUGUUUCUGAGCCUUCUGUAGGAACAGGAUACCCUUCCUUAUACGUUUAGGUAUUCUGCUGAACUUUGAAGGCAUUUUAGACAUGUGUGCUGUGCAUUGGCCCUCUCAGAAUUCAGUGUCUCCUUGGAAGUGUCUUUUCUGCCUCUCCAUUCUAGCACUGGUCACACCAUUUUGUCUGUCCUCCUUACUAUUGUGAGAGUUUCUUUGGGGGGAAAAUUUUUGUCUUCUCUGCAUCCCCAAUGCCAGCACAUGGUAGGUACUCCUCACAUUUUGUUGAUGGAAUAACUCCAGUCUAGCAUUCAUGUGUUUUUCAGGCAGACAGAGUGAACGGUCAGUGGGGACCCAUGACUCUGGGAACAGAGGGGCAUUUCCCUAUUUGCUCUGUGGAGGCCUAUGAGGGCUGCUCAUUGUUACGGCAGUCCGGCCUCCCGCUCACCCGGACUCCUUUCCUCCUCUGGUACCUGCCUACCAGGCCAUGUAAUUUCUCCACAUUUUUCCCCUUUGUCACCUUUUUUUUUUCUUUCCUGCAAGGAGUGUAGCAAGCCCUCAGGAGUUUGAUUAUGUUGCAAGAUGAAUAAGAUAUUUGAAUUAUGCUAUUUAAAUGAGUCAUCUCAACCCUAGUGUAAUUGUUCAGCCCCUGUCACGCUAAACGUGAUCUACAUUUCCAAAAGAGUGCUUUUGGCCUGAAUAGGGAAUUGCUGAAAUUGUUGGGUUCCAGUUCUCAGUGGCUUACGAUUUGCAUCACAGGGUAUGUCUUCUGUUCCACAUCUUGGCAGAUGUGGACUUUUAAAUGGUCACUCCCCAGAGCUACCAGAACAAGCUGCAUAUAUUUACACAAAAGAAGUUGAACUGAUUUUCUGGAUGUUUGUGUGUGUGUGGUGUGUGUAAAGGGGGCAGAGAGGAGCAGGAGAGUGCAGAGUGGUGAAGAAGAUAGUGCCUGAUCUUGGCUAAGCAGUGUCGCAACACAUAGGUGAGCUGAAGCUCAACAGAUUUAGAUUUUGCACUUGUGGCCUGAAAUCUCCUUGUUUUGCAUAUCCUUUUUGAGGGUUCUGGUCACUCUGAAAACUCAGCCUGCAUUGAUGGCCUCAAUUUGGAUCACCCGGGUGGCCCCGAUAUGCCUUAGCAUUUCUUCAUCUUGGAGCUGAGCUGCGGGGCAGGAUUCUUACACUGCCCGAAUGGAGUGGGGCACAUUUCCCUUCAUUGUGCAUUUCUUUUAGUGAAGAGAGCAUGAUUGAUGGUCAGACUGUGAAACAUAACUCCAAAGCCACUUCUCAAAGUUUGUGAAGAUCUUAGAAACUGGUGGUUAUGCUGUCUCAGACUCUUCAAUUACUCAGACUCCAUGAAUUUGAGUCAUAGCCCACUGGACGAGGACCACACUGAGAUGAAAAAAGAGUUAAACUUUUUUAAGGGGUGAGCAGUAUUCCUAAAGUGAUAGAUAAAGUCAGGUGUUACAGUCACUCAGCGGAUAUUGAUUGCGUGCCCAUGAAUCAGGCAUAUGCUCAGGGGCUGGUAAUACAAGAGAAACAGGCCCUUGAGGUCCCUGCCCUCAAUAAGUUCACAGUCUAGUGAGGUUGAUGGGCAUGCAAAUGGUUACAACAUAAUGCAGGCAUGUAAGAAAUGCUGUGGGAAAUUAAGACAGCAGAGUCUGCUUGAGAAGACUGGGCAAAGUUUUAAAAAGGAGGAGCUACUUUUGUUGGAACUUGAAGGAUGAGUGGUGGUGUUUACCAGGGUGAAUAAUUUGGUGCGGGUAUUCUAGGCAAAGGCUAGGGUGGCUAGAGCCUUGUGUGUGGUGGUGGAGCUAAGGCAGUUGGAACAUGAAGGACCUUGUGUGCCAAAAGAUGCAUGUUAGUUUUACACUGUAGAUGUGUUAGGAUGUGUUCAGCUGCAAGGAACAGAAAUCCCCAAUAUUACUGGCUUAAACAUGAAGAAAAUUUAUUAACAUGUAUAAUGUGUUCAAAGGCAGGGAAAUUCCAAGAUGGCUGAAUUCAGUGGCUCAACUCUGUCAUUAAGGACCUGGGCUCUUUCCACUUUUCUGCUCUGUCAUCCUUGGUAUGACGGUUUAUCCUCAGACUUGAUGAUUGAAGAGGAAGAGAGGUUUGUUUCUUUGUUUUCUGUCCUGAUGUGUGUCUUUUUAAUCAGUGAGAAAAAAUUUUCUUAAGAAGCCCCCCAUUAGACUGAUCCUCAUGCCUCAGUGACCAAAACUGCAUCAUAUGCCCAAUCCUAAACCUUUCUCUGGCCAAGGGAAUGCAACCACCAUGACUGGCUCAGCCCAAUCUUGACCCCCCUGGAGGGGACAGCCCCACUUCUUCUGAAGUACAUGGCCAGGUAGAGGAUACUGGAACAAAAUUAGGCUUCUGAUAGAAGUGGGAGAAAGGGGACAAAUGGUUGCUGAGUUGGUAACCAACAGCAUUUUCUACAGUAGCAAUGAGAAACUGUUGUAGACAAUUGAGCAGGAGCUGGCAUAAUUGGGUUUUUCAUUCUCCCCAAAGCCAGAGCACAUAGAUGUAUAUCCUAGUAGUAAGUCAUUCUAGUUCUUCUAUCUGGGAUGCUGCCACAGCAUGGCUUGAUGAGUGGUGUAUAGGUCCAUGCCCAGGAUCUGAACCUGCGAACCUCGGCCACAGAAGCAGGGCAUGUGAACUCAACAACUACACCACUGGGUCAGCCCCUAAUGAGCUUUACAUCUCAAAAAAAAUCACCCUGUCAUUAGUGUAGAGUUUAAUUUUGUAGAUAGAAAAACUGCAAACAAAUGGAAUAAUUUUAUCAGAAGUCAAGGAACGGCUCAACAUCUCUUUGGAACUGGAGGUAAAGUUUUCCUUGAGCCAUGCCCUCUACCUUAAGGAUGGGAGGGGUGCAGGGUGGGAUGUGAUUAGUGCAGAGGAGAGGCUUUCCAUCCUGGACUUGCCAAGGAAUUCUUUAUGGUACUGUGGCGAGUGUGCAACCUCUUUGCAGUCCAGAUGACAAUGCCAUCCACUCAGAAGGGCAGCUGUAAUCCUAGGAUCCCAGCAAGCUGGAGCUGGAGGCAAUCUUAAAGUCCUUUAGUUCAAGACCUUUAUUUUACAAAUGAGGAAACUGGUACCCAGACAAGCGGAGUGACUUGUUGAGUUCCUAUGUCUGGUACGUGGCUGAGCUGGAACCACACCCACAGAUUCUCCUCACUCCCAGCCCUGUGCUCUUUGUCCUGGGUUCUCAGGGCCAUUUUGAUGGAGGCUUAUGAGUGCAUUCAGGAGUUCUGAAAAGGCUCUGAAGACUCUCUUCCUAUGUUUCUAUUAUCCUUGACAGCAAUCCUAUUGUUGGAAUUAAAAAAAAAAUAAUGUUUUGGUUUCUAUAAAAAUGCAAACAAUACUGGUAGGUACAAUGUUUAAGCUCUCUUAUUAUUCAUUUAUAAUAUGAUCUUAGCAUGAAUGUGUUCCUCUGGUUCUUUCUUUGAAGCUGUUUUAAUGGGGAAUGAGGAUGUAGCCUUUGGGGCCCUGGGAACCCGAGAGAGGAAAGGAGGCCCUAAGAAGAAGCCCUAAGAGGUGGGGUGGGAGACUUGAGGGCUCAUUACUUUGAUGAGGGCGUUCCCAGUGACAAAAAGCCAAAGAAGACACUAAAUAAGAAGCUUGGUGGCUGAGACAUUCAUGAGUGGUAAUCAGUGUGCUGGUGUGCGGUGGAACCUCUGGGACAUUUUUCUUGGUGACUCAAGCAUCUAUUUGCAGUGACCCAUCACACUCUGUCUCUACUCUCUCCUUCGGCCUUCAGCGUCUGCGUGCCUUUACUCCCCAGAGCACCCUCAGUCCUGGCCAGAACUUUUGCCUGGAAUCCUCUGAAAACUCACCCUUGUGGACAGGCACAAAGAAGAAAAAAAAAGCUGAGUAAAAACUAGAGAUGCUUUCAACAGCAAGAUUUUACUGACCAAGUGCUAUGUGCAAAUCACUAAGCUGAAUGAAAGACGUGUAAAAUCCACUUAUUUUGACUUUGCUCUUGAAAAUAUUUCUAAAGUGAUUUGGUUUACUUUUCUGGUAGUAUGCCAAACAUUGUAAAACUGUUAGUUUUAGAUGUGGAUGGUGAAUAAAGAUUGGGCUGAAUCUGUAUAGACCUGGGCAUCCUUGGAUAUGGUGUAAAAGAUGAUCCUGUUUCUGUAAAACAAAUAAUGAAAAGAGAAAAAAGCCCUGUAUAUCUAUGUGUGUCUGUAUAGGACUGUUUAAGCCUAGAGAAACAUGUAAAAGGAUGUCUGUGAAGUUGCUCACAUGGGUGACUCGGCUGGGCAGUGCUGAGGUGCCAGAAGAGGAGGGCUGGGCCAGGCCAGACAAAAUGUAGGAGAAAAGGGGAACUGAAAAGCCGUGUACAAAAUGCUAUUUAUGUAAAUAUAUGUGUGGAAAUAUGCUCAAAAAAUUGAAUAAAAUACUUUUAAAAAGUGAUCUGAGGAAUGAGAACACAGAAGCGACUCUAACUCUCACAUGUAUCUACAAUUAUAACAUGCUUCAGAUGUUUGGCUGGAUUGCGUGAUCGUUAAUGGGCCUUCAGACUUGAAAUUUCAUAGUUCUCUAAAUUAAAGGUGCUGAAAUGUGGCUAGGAAUGCUGUUCUACCUCAAUUUAUAUUUUGUUCUACUUUCAUCUAUUUGUUAUGUAGUUUUUCAUCUCAUUGUCUCCAUCUUUGUAUCAGUAAAGGCUGACAUAAUUAAAAAGUAUGUAUUAUAUAUAUAUGUAACAAGUAUAUCUAAGUUUAUUUCAAAAUUGUAUACAGUUUGUUCCACAGUGUGAAUUUGGUCUAUCUUUAAAAAAUCCUCUAGUAUUUCUAUGAUGUCUGAUUUAAAGGAACCCCUCAGACAAGCUGGUGUCACCUGACGUUUUUAAUGGAGAUCUUGUAAUCCCCUUUCAAAAAGUGUGCCUAAUUGACCAUGCCUGCUUUUGGGGUCCCCCAGUAUGCUCAUUUGGCACUCUACUGGUGGAGAGGCUAGAGGCAUUCAUCUCUCCCUCCCCCACCCUCUACCUCCCAGCGCACACAGGAAGGCCAACAGCAUUUAUUAAGCACUUAUCAUUGGGUCAGAUAUUUCCUCACAGUAAACCAGCAAGGGUAAAUAUUUUAUGCCGAUUUAAUAGAGCAGGAACCUGAGGCCCAGAGGGGUUAAGUAAUUUAUUCAGGGGUGAAUGAAUUGAACCAGUUUUAAAAUCCCGGGCUCCUUGAUUCCAUAGAACAGUUUUUUUGUUUUGUUUUGUUUUGUUUCUCUUUCUCUUCCACUACAUAAACUCAGACACAUCAGAAGGAAAACUGGAAGGGUUUUCUUAGUCUGAAGACUUUCCCUUCCUCUGAUUCUUUCAUCAGCUGCUUCUUUUGAGCUGUGGAAGAGGAGAUGGAAGAGCGAGAACGGGAGGGGAAAGACAGGGACAGUCUCUAUCCAUUGGAGAGCCAGAGUUUCCCAGGAGAAGUGACUGUUCUGGGAUAGCUCAGACUUGGGGUAACCUCCCUCUAAGAACCUCAUUGGUUCAUUCCUGAAACCGAUGCCUUACAUCCUCACCUGGCUUCCAGAGUAUUCUGAUCUUCCUAAGCCCAUUUCAUUCUUCCCAUAUUUGGGCAAUGAGGAGCAGAGCUUGGAAGUGUACAAAGAUGCAAAAAUGAGAAUAAAAUAGGGAGGGGGAGGUUGAUGCAAGCA
ensembl:lncRNA